rnacentral:rRNA from 1 species
AGGGAAUAUUGCACAAUGGGCGAAAGCCUGAUGCAGCAACGCCGCGUGCACGAUGAAGGCCUUCGGGGUCGUAAAGUGCUUUUCUGGGAGAUGAGAAAGGACAGUAUCCCAGGAAUAAGGAUCGGGCUAACUACGUGCCAGCAGCCGCGGUAAUACGUAGGAUCCGAGCGUUAUCCGAAUUUACUGGGCGUAAAGCGUGUGUAGGCGGUUUGAUAAGUUGGAUGUGAAAGCUCCCGGCUCAACUGGGAGAGGCCGUUACAAAACUAUCAGACUAGAGGACGGUAGAGGGAGGUAGAAUUCCCGGUGUAGUAGUGAAAUGCGUAGAUAUCGGGAGGAAUACCAGUGGCGAAGGCGGCCUCCUGGACCGUUCCUGACGCUCAGACACGAAAGCUAGGGGAGCGAACGGGAUUAGAAACCCCGGUAGUCCUAGCUGUAAACGAUGCAAACUUGGUGUCGGUGGGGUAAAAUCCGCCGGUGCCGAAGCUAACGCGAUAAGUUUGCCGCCUGGGGACUACGGCCGCAAGGUUA